UACGGGGGGGGCAAGCGUUGUUCGGAAUUACUGGGCGUAAAGGGCUCGUAGGCGGCCAACUAAGUCGGAUGUGAAAUCCCCAGGCUUAACCUGGGAACUGCAUCCGAUACUGGAUGGCUUGAAUUCGGGAGAGGGAUGCAGAAUUCCAGGUGUAGCGGUGAAAUGCGUAGAUAUCUGGAGGAAUACCGGUGGCGAAGGCGGCAUCCUGGACCGACAUCGACGCUGAACGGCGAAAGCUAGGGGAGCAAACGGG
rnacentral:rRNA from 1 species